CACUUUACUCUAAUUAUACCAUACAGUCAGACUCAAAAUCUCAUAAUAAUAAGUUUAAAAUUUACAGAAAAUUAUUCAUACAUAAACAACUAAUUUGGUUAGUUGUACAAAAAACCUUCUAAAUGCCUGAUUAAAUCUACUUGUGUUUCAAAAAAAAAAAGAUUAAAUCUACCUUCAUCUUUAAUAUUUCAACAUUAAUCUAAGAUAGCUAAUAGCACUACUAAUUUUUGUGAACAUUAUUUAUAACAAAACUAAAUUGAGGUUUCUGUUUAUGCGUCUAUGGAAAAACUUAAAACUGAAAAAUACAAAGGAAUAGUUAUAAAUAAUGAAUUGUUAGGAAAUAUUUACAUGCAUUAUAAUUUUCUAAAUAUAUUUUUUCAUUUUAUUAUACACCUAUUUCAUUUUAAAUCAUUAAGAGUAUAACUAUCUUACACUGUCAAGUAAUUAAAUUUUAUUUAGAAUUAGCAUGAACGAAACACUCUAAUAACAUGAUCUUGCUGGAUUCUCAACCCAAUUUUAAUUCUUAUGUUAAAAACAAACAACAAUUUCACUUUUAAAAAAAACAAACAACAAUUUCAUCUAAAACAGUUUUUUUGCAUUUCCACUAUCAUAUAGCUAUUUAUAUGGGACGAAGAAGUGAAAGUUUUAGAUAAUUAUAAAGCAUACAAAUUUAAAUACAAAAAUAUUAAAUUAUCAUGUAUGAUAUUUUAAAUUAUUGAAAAAUAGAUAUAUUGUUUGCUUUAAUACCAACAACACGAUUAUACUUCAACAAUUCCAAUUACAUUAUAGAGAAAUUGCUUAUAAUACAACAAAUUAGAUAUAAUUUUCCAAAAAUGCAUUUAAUCAAAACUAUCCUAACAUUUGAGUUUAAGAUUUAAUGACAAAUAUUUGGGGUUUAUUAUUUAAAGGAUGGAAUUGGGUAAACGUCCAUAAAUAAUUCUUACAUAUUUAAAAAUGAUUAUGAGGGUUAGUUUAGGUUUCUAUUACAAAUUUAAGGUAUUUAUGGAAAAUUAUUCUUUAAUGAUAUUUUAAAAUAGUAUCAAUUCUAUGGUAAAAUUAGAAUUUCCCCUUAACAUUAUUAGAAGAACCAGGAAAAGUAUGCAAAACUAAACUAAUGUACGAAACACAGAGCUCACCAUGUUAAAUAAAUCGCAAUUAAAAAAAUACUCCAAGCUACUUUAUUAUUAUGUUAGAGAUACUAUAGUAUUUCUGAUCAAAUAUUAUGUAAAACUACUUUCAAAUAUAAUAUAAAUUAAAAUGGUGAAAAUUAUUGUAUCUAAUCCGCGCGUAGCGCGGAGAAAAUAUCUAGUUCUCAUAAAAGUCUUUCAGAACCCAUCUGAAACAUAUGGUUAGAUCAUAAAUUUAGGUCUCUUUUUCACAUAAAUUUGAGUUUGACAAACAUACUAACUUUCUAUUUUUGUUUAGCCUAGUUGUCAAGUAGAUCACAAUAACACAACAACAAAAUAUGGCAUGCAUUCUUACUAAUCGAAGAGUUCUAGACAACCAUUAGCAAAAUAUAUGGUUUAUAUAUCCAAGAUUGAUUGAGUAGUAUUUGAAAAUUAACAAUUAAAUAUUGUAAAUAUUUUGGUAACUUGUAAUUUUAAAGCAAAUUUGUUUGACAAACGUUACUUUCGUUCAUGAGAAGCGUUCCCUGUCCAAUUGCAACAACAAGGGUAGACGAAAGCGUGUCCCCAAAUAUUCAAAUUUGCUAUUUUUAUGUAAUUGUGUAUUUCACAUGGAUGGAAACUCAUCAUUUUUAGACCAUGAUAAAUUGAUAAAGAAGUACACUAUAUUAUUUCUUGAUAUCAGCACAUUUCGUUUUUCCCCAUUACAUACGCAUCCACAUUAAAUGUUUCGAUUAUGUUGUCAAUUAUAUAUAUAUAUAUUUUUAAGUCAAUUAUAAUUUCAAAAUUUUGGCUAUCUCCGUUAAGACGUUGAUUUGUUGAUAAAAAUAUAUAUAUUUAAAAUCUUAUGGACAGGUAAUUGUUUAUCAAUACUAUUAAAUUAGAAACGUGACCUAUUGAUAUAUGUUAAGUCUAACUAUUUUUAUAACUCCAUCUAAAUGAUUAUUUAAAUAUACUAUGUAACCACUUUUUACUAAUAUUAACCUUUAUUUUAGUUCCAUAAUUCUAGGGAUCCACUUCUCUCAAUUGAUUUUAGUCGAUGGUUUCAUUUUAAUUCCACAAUUUUAGGGAACCACUUUUCUCAGUUAAUUAUUAGUAGAUGGUUAUAUGUAGGAUUAAUAACAUAGGCAAAUAAAUGAUCUUAUCCUGAUAUUAACACUUGAUAAUAAUAUAGGUAAAUAGAAUACAUACGUUAGUGUACGGUUUAUGUCAAAUUAUUUUAUUCUACUAAGGUUCUAAUGUGUUUUACUAAAACCUAUGAUUUUUUUCUUCACCUGGUAUUUUUUUCUGAAAACUACCUAAUAAUAUUUAACAUAGCAUUACAAUCUACACUUUUUAAUAAUACAUAAUUGACUUAAUGCUUGAGGUUAGUCGGUUUAAUAAUUAAUUUAUUGUAUUAUUUUGUAAGAAUACAAUAUGUAAACAGUUUAUUUAGAUAAAAAUCACCAAUGUGUAUUACUUAUCGAAAAUUCUUCAAUAUGGAAAUAAUAGAUUUUAUGUUUAAUAAAAACUAUUAGCAACUCUUACAAUAUAUAUAUAUAUAUAUAUAUAUAUAUAUAUUCUUUCAGUUAUUUAUUCAGUUUUUGGUUUAAUUCUAUUAAGGUUUCAAGUUUUUGGAGGUAGUAAUUUAAAUCUCAUUUGGAUAUUAAUAAAUUUUGGUUCGGUUCAUAUUUUUAUGGGUUUAAUUAGUUUUGAAUACCAGUUUAAAUCAUAUAAAAUUUAAAAGUAAAAUAUAUCUUUAAGUUCUACAAAUUCAAUAAUAAAAAUAACAAAUGACAUAAUUUUAUAAUUUUAUAAUACAUGACCGAAUACCUAAAUUUAACAUAAAUUACGCCAGUUUAAAUAUUUGAGUGAAAAACCAAUAAAUAUUUUGAAUAUCUCUAAUAUUUUAAGCAUUUUAAAUUAUUAUUGCGGUAUUUACGGGUUAUUCUAUAAAACCUACAAAGUAUUUGUCGCUGUAAAUAUAUUUUGAAUUACGAUUAUAGUUUUACUGCUUAUAUCAAAAAAUAAUUUGAAUAGAUAAUUUAAAUAAAUAUAAACAUAAACUAUGUAUAAAUAUAACGCAUAAAAUCAUACAUAAAAUUCUAAUUAUUAUUAAGUACAUAUGUAAAUGAUAAUAUAUCCGCUUUAUCAAAGGGCAGGUUAGAAUCUAGUUUGCUAUUAAAGUGAUUAGAAAUCCAGCAAUAUUUAUCAGCAUUUUCGAUCUGUAUUUCUUUCUGAUUUUCAAAUACUUCUUCAAACCUAAUAAAUUAAUUGUGCCAAGGUGUCCAAAAAGGACAUUGGAGGGGAAAAUGGGGAAAACGAACCUCAGAGACAGAAGCGUAGUCUUGUCGUUGUAGUCCGACUGGAACCUGUCUCUAUUUUCCUUAUUUACCUUUUUAGUGGGAUAAGUAAUUAAAAAACUGCAAUACACGAGAUGAGCCAUUUACGUACGUUAGAGCGUGAUUAACUGGUUUGUUAGGAUAGGGUUUUUAGAGCAUCCCCAUUAGUGAACAUACGGAGGAGGGGUUCACACAGAUUCCAAAAAAAAAAAAUAUUAAAAUAAUGAAUAGUGAUGAACUUGUCUCUCUCCACCUCUUUCCAGUGAACUGGGUUCAUCACUGUAGCGCGGGCCCCACGGCAAGUGGCGGCCCGCGAUUGGUCUGAUUAAUUUUUUUUUAUUUUUAAAAACAAAAAUCAAACAGAAAAAAAAUAUAAUAAAAAAUACUUUGUGAACCCCUUUAAUGGGGUUCACUAAUGGGGGUGCUCUUAUAGCAUGAUUAUUGGAGAGUUCUUAAGGUGGGGUUUUUAGCAGAAUAUAAUAACCCGCCUCUUAACUUUUAACUAAAAAAGCUAAGAACCGGCUUUUAAAUAAGAGUUUUAAUAACUGGUUCUUAGUUUUUUUAGUUAAAAGUUAAGAGACGGGCUCUUAUAUUCCGCUAAAAACUCCACCUUAAGAACCCCCCAAUAAUCAUGCUCUUAGUGGAAUAUAAAAAACUGUCUCUUAACUUUUAACUAAAAAAACUAAGGACCGACUCGUUUUUUAUAUUCCGCUAUCCUCAUUAAUCAUGCUCUAACAAUCAAAAAAAUUAUUUUGCAUGCAUGUGACUUAAAAGCAUGAUUAAUGCGGGGUUCUUAAGGUGGAGUUCUUAACAUAAUAUAAGAAACCGUCUCUUAAUUUUUAACUAAAAAAAGCUAAGAACCGGUUCUCCCCAUUAAGCAUGCUCUAAAUUAUGAGUAUCUUCUGUUUUGCUUAUAUAUAUAAUAUCUUUUGUACUACGUGUGAAAUCAUAAGUUACACCAUUCGUAGUUUUACCAAAAAAAAAAAGUCUUAUUCGUAGCAUCUAAGUGCAUGAUUAACCCAUGGUUUUUAGGAUAGAGUUCUUAGCAGAAGUUAAGAAACAGUUUCUUAACUUCUACUAAGAACUCCACUCUAAGACCUCCGGGUUAGUCAUGGUCUAAGAAACAUAAUAACCCCUUUAACUAAAAAAAAUUCCUGUUGAUCGAUUUUCACGAAUAAAAACAAGACAUAAAUACUCUCACAGAUUGGUAAACAGAAAAGAAAAACUAAAGACAAAAGCCGACUACACCGUUUGGAUGAAUCGUGAUUACCACAUGAAACACAUGUCGACAGGACGUACCAACUCUCUAUCUUCAAUACUAGAAUGAUACAUUUCACCAAAUGCUUAUUAAUCUAGGUUUAUGUCCAUGUAUAUAUCAUUAAUAUAAUGAUAUGCAAACAAUGGACAAUUGAUCAGUGAAGAGCUCAAAUAGUUUAUCACUAUAUGAGUAAUUCUGUAUUCUAUAAAAAAUUAGUAAUCGAGGUCAAACUUGAUGAGCGUAAUAGGAGCCAAAAUGUUGUAGUUAUAAAACAUAUAUAGACCUCCUAGUGCAAUAUCUUAUAAAACUACUUAAUUUGCGAACUAAAAUGAAAAAAUGGUAAUAAUAAAUGGUGGACUAGUGCCCAUGUGUAGAACAUAAACGAACAGUUAAUGUUGGGCGGCUUAAUACCAACUAACUAGAAACCAGUCCGCCAUCAAUGUAUAAAUAAAUAAUAUAUAUACUCCUAUCUACAUUGUAUGAAAAGGACUAACGUAAAUAAAUGGUCUCUACAUAAAUAAACGACAUCGAAUCCAUAAAACAAGCUGAAAAGGGUUUGAUGCAGUACCAUUGCACACUACUAUCAGUAAGACCAUGUUUAUCCCAGAUCCUUAACUGGUUUCUUAAGGAAAAUAGGUGAUUUAAUUAAAUCAGAAUUAAUUAUAAAGUAGGUUACUGAUCCUUAAUUGGGGAUUUUGGAAACCGAUUUUAAUGGGGUUUCACAAGCACGUGUCAGCAAAGGAAAGACACCAGAUUUUUUUUUCUUUUCUCUUUUAUUUUGUUUCUUUGUCUUCUCUCGGCUUCUCCAUCAGAGACGAUCGACGACCCACGAGGGACGAAGACUCUCUCCGUGAGAAGAGCGAUCGAAACCCACGAGGGACGAAGACUCUCUCGGUCGUCGCGGCGGCUCCUCCGUGCUCUCUCGUCUUCUCCCUCAGAACAACGAUCGAAACCGAUAAAGGAAGCGACUCUGUCGGCAACUCACGGCGACUCCUCCGAUAUCUCGUGUUCACCGUCAGAAGAGGACAACAUGAUUUGGACGCUGAUUACCUUAAUGAGGACAACAAGGAACAUCUUUCUGCAUUGGCUUUGUCUCUACCAGACAUAAUGGUGACAUUCUAACUCUUUUGUAGUCAUGUUCUUUAAGUUAAUUGCGACAGGGAAGUGUGUUUUGAAUCUUUUGAUCAUCUUUUUCUUGUACCAUUAACUGAUGUUUGUAAACUCAAGAGUUGGUGUCAAGUCCAGGAUGUACAACAAGUGAUCCAACAGUUAGUGUGUUUGAUAUUAGCCAACAUUUGGAGUUUUGACUUGUUUGUUACUCAACCUUCGUUUUAGAGAUUGUUUCCUAUCUGGGACUCUUGUCCAGUGUUUGGCUCGUUACAAGAUAUCAGUUUCUCUGCCUUAUCUCAAAAAGCUUGUCUCUUUACGAUGAUUCACUUACGGGUUUCCACACUCGUGUGGUUUUACGUAAUACCCAAUCCCAAAGUCCUUACCCUUCUCUUACAAUUCUUCUCACUUUGGUCUGAAACUCGACAAAGAUUUCACAUCGAAGCUCUUUACUUUGUUGACUUCUUUUCUUUCUUCUUCUCUGUUUUAUCUUCCACGGAAACAGAUCUUUCAUCUUUGCAACAUCAAAUCGUGACUUCUUGUCAUUUUCUUCAGUUUUUUUUGUAUUAGAGAUGGCUAUGCAAACUGUGAGAGAAAGCCUUCUCUCUGCUCCAGAGAUUCCUUGGUGGAAUGGCUUUGGAUCGUUUUGAAAGUGUGCAACCACAACUUCAAAGUUGAAACUGUCGGUGAGGUAAGUGUGGAAACCUUGAUAUCAUUUUAAUUCAUAUCGGCUGGAUAGUAGUUAGGUAAUAAAUACUUGUUAGGUUAUGGUUAGAGGAUGUGCUUGUGAUGAAUGCUUGUUAUAGUUUUACAUUAGGACUGUGUCAUGUUAAAAACGAGUGUCUUUGGUCUAUCAUGUUCUGUUUUAACAUUCU